UACCCCAAAAUUUUCAAUUUUUAGAUUCUCACUCAUUUUGCACUUAAUUUUAUCCAUCUACGGAGAAAACCACCGCUUCUAUUCUACGUACUCUGCAAUCUGCUGCCAAGAAAUAACACAGCAAGCAACAAAGCUUAAUGUUUUUCUCUUCGGAAACUUGUAUUCACGGUCGAUCUUUUCCCUAUUGUCUCGAUUUUUCUAUUUGAAGGUUUAAACUCUUUAAUUGUGUUUAAUUUGUGAAGGUUACAAGGAAAUUAGAUUCAACCACCGGCGGAGUAAAGAAGCUCAGUCGCUACCGCACCGGAACCUGUUGGUCUUGAGUUUCAAAAAUCGGAACUACUCCUGAGAAGCUUUUCUUUGAACAUUGUGGAAUGGAAUCGAUAAAAGUUGAGAAGCCUCUUAGCAUACAAAAUACAUGUGGAUCUUUGUUGCAGCAACUAUUGGUAAAUCCUAAUGUAGCAACUAUAGCAACUUAGAGUCAUCUUCUAUUAGGUAUCAAUUAUAAAGAUCAAGCGAUAUAUGAUAGUAUGAUUCAUUCUGUGAGAAGUUGAUGGAUAAGCUGCAAGAUUAAAGAAGAAAUAGCUGAAUGCAGCUGAUCUCUCAAUCAGCCUUCAGCAGCCGUCGGAUGAGAUUUGAGUUUAGGCUUUUAAUCUGGACCGUUGGAUGAAAUGUAUCCGUUAGAAUUAGUUUAGGUUUAAAAGCUAGUUGGUUGAGUUUAGUUUUGUAACUUCUUCUCUUUGAUUUUGCACUCCCGAUUCCAGUGAAUAAAAUUCCUUUUGAUUCCA